rnacentral:rRNA from 1 species
UGGGGAAUCUUGCACAAUGGGCGAAAGCCUGAUGCAGCAACGCCGCGUGCGGGAAGAAGGCCCUAGGGUUGUAAACCGCUUUCAGUAGGGAAGAAAAUGACGGUACCUACAGAAGAAGGUGCGGCCAACUACGUGCCAGCAGCCGCGGUGACACGUAGGCACCAAGCGUUAUCCGGAUUUAUUGGGCGUAAAGAGCUCGUAGGCGGUUUGGUAAGUCGGGUGUGAAAACUCAGGGCUCAACCCUGAGAGGCCACUCGAUACUGCUAUGACUAGAGUACGGUAGGGGAGCGGGGAAUUCAUGGUGUAGCGGUGAAAUGCGCAGAUAUCAUGAGGAACACCAGUGGCGAAGGCGCCGCUCUGGGCCGUAACUGACGCUGAGGAGCGAAAGCGUGGGUAGCAAACAG